rnacentral:rRNA from 1 species
CGACCGGGUGAGUAACACGUAGACGACCGACCACUAAGUGGGGGACAACAGCCCGAAAGGGUUGCUAAUACCGCAUAAUGUACAUCAUUCGCUUGAUGUCAGAAAGUAGCAAUACGCUUUAUGGAGGGUCUGCGGCCCAUCAGGUAGUUGGCGGGGUAACGGCCCACCAAGCUAAUGACGGGUAGGGGGUGUGAGAGCAUGACCCCCCACACUGGCACUGAGAACGGGCCAG